GAUUUGUCGAAUACAUUUUUCUCCAAGCCUAUUUUUUUUUCUCAAAUUGGAAACAAGGAAGCGGAGAAAGCUUAUUGUGGAUUUUACCAGCGGGCAGUGUGUCUCCAUAUAGACAUAAACCAUAAUUAUAGUGGAUUGACUCCAAACUCACUAACAUUAGGAAAUGUACGUGGACAUUUUUUUGUAAGAAUGAAGCCGUGUACAUAAAGUCGUGUGAAUACAUCAUUUGGACUAGUUAAGGCAAUUAUUAUAAAUAAAUAUAGCGAUAGUUAAAAUA